UGAUUCAUAGAGGCGGAUCAGGAGAGAACAUCUCUGUCUGUGAAAGCCCACUUAAAAGACUGUACUUUCCUCCGAGGGAGGGAGAGGCAAGGAGCAAGCAGGACCUCAAGGCUGACCCCGCUUCAGGCCGCUCGCCAGGCCUCAAGUAUUGGGCCUUGUGGGGGCGGCAGCGAGGCGCUGGUUGCUGGGGGACCGGUGACGUACGGGGUGAAAGUUGAGAGGCGGUGACGUCGGGCCUGCCCGGGCGGAGGCUGGCGGGUUGGAGGCAGGAGGGAGGGAAGGAGGGAAGGAAGGAAGCUGGGAAGGAGCGAGCAAGCGGGGGCGCGAGGCGUUUACCUGGAGGCAGCCGCUGUGCGCGCGGAGCGGCCCCGGCUCCCCCGCACCUGCGGCCAUGGAUGAGGAGCGCGCCCUCUAUAUCGUCCGGGCCGGCGAGGCGGGGGCUAUCGAGCGGGUCCUGAGGGAUUACAGCGAUAAGCAUAGGGCUACUUUCAAAUUUGAAUCAACAGAUGAAGAUAAGAGAAAGAAACUCUGUGAAGGCAUAUUCAAAGUCCUUGUAAAGGACAUCCCAACAACCUGUCAAGUGUCCUGCCUGGAAGUUCUCCGCAUUCUCUCCAGAGAUAAGAAGAUUUUAGUUCCUGUAACAACCAAGGAAAAUAUGCAGAUACUGCUGCGACUAGCCAAGCUAAAUGAGUCGGAUGAUUCUUUGGAGAAGGUGUCAGAGUUCCCCGUUAUUGUGGAGUCAUUAAAAUGUCUGUGUAACAUUGUGUUUAACAGUCAGAUGGCACAGCAGCUCAGCCUGGAACUUAACCUUGCUGCAAAGCUUUGUAACCUUCUGAGAAAGUGCAAGGACCGAAAGUUCAUCAACGACAUUAAAUGCUUUGACUUGCGCUUACUCUUCCUCCUAUCACUUUUGCACACUGAUAUCAGGUCACAAUUGCGCUAUGAGCUCCAGGGACUCCCGCUGCUAACCCAGAUUUUGGAAAGUGCCUUUAGCAUCAAGUGGACUGAUGAGUACGAAUCGGCCAUAGACCGUAAUGGACCUCCCCUCUCACCUCAGGAGACGGACUGUGCCAUUGAGGCCCUCAAAGCUCUCUUCAAUGUGACAGUAGACAGUUGGAAGGUGCAUAAAGAGAGUGAUUCUCAUCAGUUCCGUGUCAUGGCAGCUGUCCUUCGCCAUUGUUUACUAAUCGUAGGUCCAACUGAAGACAAAACAGAAGAGCUGCACAGUAAUGCAGUCAACCUUUUAAGCAAUGUUCCGGUCUCUUGUUUGGAUGUUCUCAUUUGUCCAUUAACUCAUGAAGAAACAGCCCAAGAGGCCACGACUCUAGAUGAACUGCCCAGUGAUAAAACAGCUGAGAAAGCAACAGUUUUGAAAAACAAUACCAUGGUAUACAAUGGCAUGAAUAUGGAGGCCAUUCAUGUUUUACUCAGUUUUAUGGAGAAGAGAAUAGACAAGGGAAGCAGUUAUAGAGAGGGUCUAACUCCAGUUCUCAGCUUAUUAACAGAAUGUUCCCGAGCUCAUCGAAACAUCAGAAAAUUUCUCAAAGAUCAGGUUUUACCACCUUUGAGGGAUGUGACAAAUCGACCUGAAGUGGGCUCAACUAUGAGGAAUAAGUUGGUGCGCCUCAUGACACACGUUGACCUUGGAGUCAAGCAAAUUGCUGCUGAAUUCCUUUUUGUCCUUUGCAAAGAGAGAGUGGAUAGCCUGCUGAAAUACACUGGCUAUGGGAAUGCUGCAGGACUGCUGGCGGCCAGGGGCCUCUUGGCUGGAGGAAGAGGAGAUAAUUGGUACUCAGAGGACGAGGACACAGACACUGAAGAAUACAAAAAUGCAAAACCAAACAUUAAUCUUAUCACUGGUCAUUUAGAGGAACCAAUGCCAAAUCCCAUAGAUGAAAUGACAGAAGAACAAAAAGAAUAUGAAGCCAUGAAACUUGUCAACAUGCUUGAUAAACUUUCCAGGAGAACAGAUGUGAAGGACCUGCCCCAGGAUGGUGGUUAGCAACAGUGGCCCGUGCCAAAGCACUUACCAAAGUGGUGACUAAGGUUGGUCAUACCAAGUACUAUUACUGAGCCUGGUGUAGGUGUAGAUGUUAUUCACUACCGAAGCUGUAAAACCACCAGUGUAAAAAUUAAAGUUAUAUUUUCAUUUUGCCUCUGGGCUAUACAUAGCCACUGCCUCAAGGAGCUCACCACCUUAGCAGCUUUAUCUCAGCUAGAUUUUCAAGGACACUGAAGAGAUUAGUACUCAAAUACUUUCUUCCCAUUGAAAACCAACUGACUUAGUAGUAUUCCAAGUGAUUUUUUUUUUAAGUAUAAGGAUUGUAUUUGUGACCAAUGUAGAUAAGGGGAUGGCAUUGGGCCAGGAAGUUUUAUGAGUUAGAAUAAUUUGAACCCUACAAAUCCCAUCAUAUCUAGCUAGUACAGUGCCUUGUACCCUGAGGUUUCCCCAUUGUAUGAUGAUGAAAUAAUGAACAUAGCCGAUUCCCUAAUAAGAAGUCAGUUUUUUUUGCUCUAUAAAACAGCCUAUAUGGUUUAAGACUUCAAAGUACACUUUUGUCAGUUCAUUUCUUGGCCAGAUGUCAUAAAAUUCAGGGCCAGAAAGGAAUCCCAUAAAGGUACUGUGGCCCAUGGCUGGCUGAUUUAACCAUUGAAAUACAUAAUUCCAUUAAUAUAAAAUGAUAAUUGUAAUGUUUAUCAAACAGAAGCAUUAAGCAUGGCAUGAGAUUAUAGGAAGCCUCAUUUGACAUUUUUAAUGUGAGAGCAGAGGUGGAAGGGGGGAUGAAAUUUGCUUGCCUCUCCACCUCCUUUUUCCUCCUCUGAAUUGGGAAAGAAAUAAGCAGGGGAUUAGAAUGGGGAUUGUGUGUGGUUAAGCAAGUCCAGUGUGGCUAAUACAAUUGCAUUCACCUUAGUUACAGCAUACAACUUGUAUAUAAUAAUGCAGCCUCCUCCUGAAGAUGGGAGAGGAUUGAAUGGCUUAAGCUUAAACUAACCAAGGGAAAUGAUAUUUCAAGUUUCAGUUUUGUUUUGACUUUCCUAAUCCCCUUUAGUUCCUUAAUUGGAGCCAGGACUGAUUAAUCUUCUACCCCACCUUUACCCCAUCAUCAUAAAGAGUUUAAGAAUAAUCUGAAGGUACAUUGUACAAAAAAUUGCCUUUUUGCUUAUUUACUCUAUCAAAAUCUAAAAUUUUUAUACAUAGUAGUUGUUUUCACACUUCUUAGCUACUCCUUGUCCUCUAUGUAUUCUUUUUUUUUUUUUUCACCAAUCAUUGUGUAGUAUUUGGGACAUGGCUUUCUUAAUAAAUGCAGGUGCUAAAUAUAGGGAUACAUGUAUAUAUAUUAUAUAAAUAGUUCCUUUAAUCCAAGGAUUAUUUUUAAACUUAAUAAAGCUGGGAUAGGUGAUUUAUAAAGGAAAAGUAAUACAUAAUUUUUUCCUUAUGGAAAGGUACUUUACUCUGCUUACAAAAAUAUCAAGAAUUGAUCACACCCACCUUUAUGAUGAGUUAGUCAACGAAAUACUUCUCAGGUACAUAUCACAAGUGUGAUCAGCAGUACAUAAAAUGUGAAGAUAUUGUUCAUAUCAGAAAGUCUUUUAGGUCUGUACUGUCCAAUAUAGUGACCACCAGCCAUAAAUGACUACUGAGCACUUGAAAUAUACUUGGUCUGAAUUGGGAUGUCUUGUAAGUAUUAAAUAUUCAGACUUCCAAAGAUUCAGUGCAAAGAAAAGGAAUUAAAAUACCUCAGUUGUUGAAUAUGGAUUUUAUGUUGAAAUAUUUUUUAUAUAUUGUGUUAAAAUAUAUUAAAAUUAAUUUUACCUACCUUUUCUUACUUUUUUCAGUAUGGCUACUACAACAUUUAAGAUUAUAUAUAUGGCUUAAAUUUGUAUCUUACGAUAUUUUGAUUUGACAACACUGUUUGUUGUUCUACAUCAUUAAAAUAUAAUGUAAAGUUGCUUGAAAGUUCAAUCAAGAGAACUUGGGUCCAGUUAAAUUAGUAUACCCUUUAAGUGGCAGGUAAGGAUUACUUUGAGAAACUUGAUACUGUACAUCUAGGUUAUAGAGGGCCCUUCUACUGACCAGACACCCCCAACAGGAUGUCAUGCUACCUUUGUGUCACCCGUUGGGAGUCACUGUCCUUUAACUCUGUAGUAAGAAUGACUACUUUGAGCUGUGGGUUUAAGUACUAGCUGAAAUGGCUUCUGCCUAUUAGAGAAACAUGAAAUAACAAUACUGUUCACUGGCCAUUUGCUCUCUGGACCCUCCUUCUUAAUUCUUAAGUCUUUCUAAUUGGAAAGACUAUGUAAGAACUUCUAUUUCUACUGCUUUAUUCAACAGGGUCAGUUUGGCAUGCUGACCUCUUAAUAAUUUGGACAACAGGAUAGAAAAGUUCUGUAGAGAAAUUACCAAGAAAUAAUAAAGAACACCCUUCACUUAAGGAUAAAACUGAAUUUUAUUCUUCUAGCACUAUCCUUAACCUCUUUCUCUGUAUCUUCUUAACCAUGCUGUUUAAUGUGAGGUGGGUAGCAAAUUUUUAGAAGCUUUGCAUGUGAUCUUCUAACAUAAAUGAGAAAAAUAAUAAAAGAUUAAUAUUUUAUAGUGCUUUAAAGUUUAAAAAGUGUUUCCACAUUUAUUAUCUCCAUUGAUCAUUAAACAGCCCUGUGAAGUAGAUAGGGCACAACAUAUUUUACUGAAGAGUAAAUGGGACCAAUGAUGAAGGGACUGACCCAAGAUCAGGCACCUGAUGAAUGACAUAGCCAGGACUCAGUCUUCAGGCUCUAGAUCUUACAUUAUUUUGAAAAAUUACCAAUAGCUCUCAAAAGUUUGUCAGUCUGAUUAUUUUUAACAAGACAUUCCAAAUUUUAAAUAAAUGCAAAGCACAAAGACAGACAAUAAGCAUGUUUACCUGAGUAGAGAAUUAAGAUUUGGAGGAAUGUAUUCCUGCUUUUUCAGUCCAUAGCUGAGCUCCUCUCAAAUAUCAGAUCAGGUGCUAAAUAGCUUAUGUGAAAGAAAAGAACUUUAUAUGAAGUACAGCAGUAAAAUCGCUAUGAUUCUAUAUUAAUAGAUGGUCUCUUAAUUAUUUUGAAAAGAGAAUGAUUAUAGGUAUUCAACAAAUUAUUGUAUUUAAUGUAAUCAUGUUAGGAAAACCAAACUUUUAAAAGGCUUCCCUAUGGGACUGUUUGGGCAACUCCUAAUUACAUGUACAAAGUGGAAGGACAUGGUAAGGACAAUAUGCUAUUUCCAUUUGUCUUGGGAAUGAUAUUUUUAGGCUACAUAUUCUACCUUCCCAGAUGUACCCAAAGCACAAUGGUGAGGUCUGAGGGAAAGAUUUCAAAAUUGUCUUUUGAAAGAUACAGCUGGAAGACCUUGAAUGGGCUGUGGAAAAGCCACCAUACCCCUCCUACCUACUGGGUAGUGGCUUAGUGAAAGAUCUGUAUAACCAGUCAGCAGUAGGAAGCCAUUAGAUGAAAGGUACAGGGAAAGAUAAAGGAUCAGGGUCCAAACCCAAAGGGGGCACCCUUUCACAGGAUGUAACUGGCAUGUUAGCCCGUGGCAAAGGUAAUAUUAUUUCUGUGAGCAAAAAGGGUUAAAAACACUUGCAAGAGUAUGCAAGUUAGUGAGAAAUCCAUUGUACUUCAGUGGAUUGCAGACUAUUCCAGUGAUGGUGAAAUCUUGAAAUUAAGAUGCACUCUCAGACUUGAAAUCAAAGCAAAGAUUACAGAGCUGCUUUCUCUGGGCUGUCACAGGCUCCAUUCUAGCGGGCGAUUUUUGAAAAGCUCUGUGCCAUUAAGAUGCUUUAUUUAUAUACCAGUUUCUCAUCCUAUCUUUCAAAUGUGAAAAGGAAUUAAAUAUGAAAUGGCUAAUUUAAAAUGUCAAGGUUCUUUUUUCCAAGCCAACCUUACAUUAAGAGCAGGAAUCCCUGAGCCAAAGAAAUGGUUCCCAAUUAUCCCGUCUUGGGUUUUGUUGUACAUUGUGCAGAAGUCAACAAAACAAGUAUGUAACAGAACCUGCCUAAAUAGCAGCCAUCCUCAUUAAAAACAGAGAAUUAAUCAGGGGUGUCUGAAGGAAGCAGUGCCUCACAGGUUCUCCCCCUUUUCUUCUUUUCUAAUCAUAGAACAAAAUAUAUUACAUAAAAGGAUCGAAACUAUUAUGCAGUACUCAAUUAGAGGGAGGUGAAUAGGUCUCUAACAUGCUGUUUUAUCAAAAGAGCAGACUGGUGUUUGCAUGACUGUUGUUUCAUUACAGACCCUGUCAUUAAUUCCAUGUGUCAAUACUGCCCUGUAGUACACAGAGCAGACAAGAAAGAAGAGCCCUUGAAAACAAGGGAAUGGUUUUUGAGUCGUUAUCAAGCUAAGUGGCAAGCGGGAAGCUGAAACUCGUAUAGUUGAACAUUCUUGGAGGCUUAUCUCUUCCCUGGCCAGAUGCCUGAUCAGAUGAGAAGCCCGCCAUGAUACUGUCACAGUGCCUAGAAUGGGCUCUUUGUCCAGUAGACAUCACCGUACUUUUUGGUGAUAACGAGGGCAGUCUUAACUUGUGUUAAGGCCUGUGUGUAGCAUUGAAGAGAGGAGCUGCUCAGACCCAUGGGGCUGAAGCCUGAUGGGACGGUGACGCCUUUGGAGGAGGCGCUCAGCCAGUACCCCGCCAUCGAGGACACCGGCUCGGACACCGACUGAGGGCGCCUGCCCGGCUCCCGGUACUGCUUUCGUCGGCAUCUUCUCUCUGUAGCUCCAGGGGAACCUUUUCUCCAAAAUAUUUAUGCCUUUGCUUCGGCUAGAAACACAUGAACCGGUGUACGUACUGAGAAUCCAGCAUAUUGAAGAGGUGAUCCUGUGUUUCCACAAUACUGAGGCGUUCAUAGAGAGCUGCAGUUAAUCGGAAUUGCAGGGGCUAAAAGCAGAAAAAGUAAGUCCAUUUCACGAGGACGGAACUGAAGGACCUCCUUCGCCAAGGCGGCCCCCGGUGAAUGCGGCCCUUCUGUGCGUCGGGAUCCCCAGCGGCCUCAGCCUUGACCUCCUCCCGCCCGCGGGAGCCGCGCCCUCCGGAUCUCCCGGGCGGACAGGGGCGCAUGCGGAGCAGAAUGAGCUGCUAAGUGCGGGCCGAGGCCAGCGGCUUGUCGGAACCGACAUCAUGGCAGCCAGUCAGCUGCUCCGUGAACCUAGCCCCACUUUCCAUUUCAGUUUUGUAUAAACAUACGAAAUGCGCGCGCGCACAUACACACACAGCCCCAGCCUUGCAAAUUGAUUACACUCUAAAGGUUUUUAUGUCACUUAUCUAGAAUUUCAGAUUCCAUUUUUCCCUAUAAGGAGUUAUGAAUGAUGGUUUAGUUCUGAGGCAGCUACAAAUGCCUAUUUAUUCCCUCAUGUACCUGAACACUAGUACCAUGGAACUAACCCCCAUCUGUAUCAUUGCAUGGGGAGCAUGCAUUCUGAGGUCUAACUCGGGGUGCCAGAAACACAUGUCCUCCAACCUAGCAGAGGGAAUGGGGCCGCCCUGAGUUCUGGGAGUUCUUUUGCGGCCUCUGCUGGGGGCAGGUAGUCAGCAGCACCCAUUUGUACAUAUAGGUCAUUCAUACGUCACGUUGUAAAUUGGGGAGUGUGUGUGUGUGUGUGUGUGUGUGUGUGUGUGUGUGUGUGCGCGCGUGCCCUACCUUUCUACUAUUUGUGAUCAGUUUAAUGGUAACUUUAUUUAUUUAAAAAAAGAAACACAAAUAGUUACUGUUAAACUGAUUAAGGCUGUUUAUUUUUACUUUUAGAAUUGGUCGUAUGAAGAAGUAGAAAAUGAAUUAUGCACUAGACAGUGGGCCUAGUUAAUCAGUGACUAAAGUUGAAAAGGGGUUGGUUUCCUUUUAUGUAUGUACGUAUGUAUAUGUAUAUACAUACGUACAUAUAUAUAUAUAUACACAUAGAUAAUGUGCUUAACCACUGCCUUUUAAGACUUUAAAUUAAAUAAAAUAUUGGGGUUGAUUCAA